rnacentral:rRNA from 1 species
GACCGCCUGGGGAGUACGGCCGCAAGGUUAAAACUCAAAUGAAUUGACGGGGGCCCGCACAAGCGGUGGAGCAUGUGGUUUAAUUCGACGCAACGCGAAGAACCUUACCUGGCCUUGACAUGCAGAGAACUUUCCAGAGAUGGAUUGGUGCCUUCGGGAACUCUGACACAGGUGCUGCAUGGCCGUCGUCAGCUCGUGUCGUGAGAUGUUGGGUUAAGUCCCGUAACGAGCGCAACCCCUAUCCCUAGUUGCUAGCAGUUCGGCUGAGAACUCUAGGGAGACUGCCGGUGACAAACCGGAGGAAGGUGGGGAUGACGUCAGGUCAUCAUGGCCCUUACGGCCAGGGCUACACACGUGCUACAAUGGUGCGUACAGAGGGCUGCAAACCCGCGAGGGGGAGCUAAUCUCACAAAACGCAUCGUAGUCCGGAUCGGAGUCUGCAACUCGACUCCGUGAAGUCGGAAUCGCUAGUAAUCGCGAAUCAGAAUGUCGCGGUGAAUACGUUCCCGGGCCUUGUACACACCGCCCGUCACACCAUGGGAGUGGAUUGCACCAGAAGUGGUUAGUCUAACCUUCGGGAGGA